GAGACUCACAGGCACCCCAUGCUAGGCCACCACACUUGGGAGCCCAGCAACAGUCACCACAAGCCCGGCUACCACAUCCGGAAGUCGGAGCCCAGUCACCACAGGCUUGUGUCAGGCCCUCACAGCCCAUAGCCCAGUCACUGCAGCUCCAUGUCCAGUCAUCCCAGCCUGGAGCCUUGUCACCAGAACCCCAGGCCCAGCCACCUCCUAUGACUUAGGCCCAAGUACUGAAGUCCCAGAGCCCCCACCCCUUCCCCAGACCACAGGCCAAAAUCCAGUCACAACAGCUCCAUGUCCAGCCAUCCCUGCCUGGAGCUCAGCUGCCACAGCCCCAGGCCCCAUCACCUCAGCCACAGGAGGAAGUCCAAGUGGUUGCAUCAGAGGAACCUAGAGGAGCAGAAGGCAAAAUCCCACUUCCAGAACACUGCCGCACAGCUGUAUCAAAGGAGAUGACUGAAAGGUCGCGUGGAAUCUUCCAAGACCUUGUGGUGAAUACCAGGAAGGAGUUGAAACACGUCAAAGAUUCAAAGAGAGGGAUGGAAGGCCAAGUGAUACAUCUCCAGACAAACCAUUACCAAGUGACGUGUGAC
rnacentral:lncRNA from 1 species